rnacentral:rRNA from 1 species
AACGAACGCUGGCGGCAGGCCUAACACAUGCAAGUCGAGCGAGGUAGCAAUACCUAGCGGCGGACGGGUGAGUAACGCGUGGGAACGUGCCCCUUGGUACGGAAUAGCCCCGGGAAACUGGGAGUAAUACCGUAUGUGGUCGAGAGACGAAAGAUUUAUCGCCAAGGGAUCGGCCCGCGUUGGAUUAGGUAGUUGGUGGGGUAAUGGCCUACCAAGCCGACGAUCCAUAGCUGGUUUGAGAGGAUGAUCAGCCACACUGGGACUGAGACACGGCCCAGACUCCUACGGGAGGCAGCAGUGGGGAAUCUUAGACAAUGGGGGAAACCCUGAUCUAGCCAUGCCGCGUGAUCGAUGAAGGCCUUAGGGUUGUAAAGAUCUUUCAGGUGGGAAGAUAAUGACUGUACCACCAGAAGAAGCCCCGGCUAACUCCGUG